GAUAGACCACACAUUCCACAGCCACGACGUUUAUUUCCUCUCGGUUACAUGCUGCCCUGGGGGACGACCAGUUACAUUUUUCUGACCAUAAAGAAGAGGGGAGCCACGGGGCAUCCAUCCCCCAGCUGUCACGACUCCGAAAAGGGAGUUCUCUUUCCUUAUGUCCUCUUACUGUGUGGAUUGAGGAUGAAACAGAGCAACCGCCCGAUGGCCAGGAGGCGAAAAGACCGUCAAUAAAAAGCUUCGCGAUGAAGACCACGCCAAAGAAGAAGGCGCCUUCCAAGAUCACUGGGGUCUCCAGGGCCUAGCCUUAGUUGAAACAGUCCGACGACCACCAUGAACCUGGGAAGCCCCCUGGGGAAGGUGACCCCCAUCUCCGGACUGAGGCCUGCAGGGCUCCUCAGGACAGCCACUAGCAGCACCAUGGGGAAAACAUAGAGGUGACGCCCAGAAAGACAGAAUUCUGAGACAGGCGAAGGGACAAACGGAUUCAUGUGAAUUUUUUUUUUUUUUGAUUCUCCAAACCACCUAGUGUCUACCACAGCCACCCACAACUGCCAUUGGAGUGGGAAGGCAGCCACAAAUAGUAUCAACUGGGACAGAAAUAAAUGAACAGCAGGACUGGU
rnacentral:lncRNA from 1 species